GCGUUGGUGGUAUAGUGGUUAGCAUAAUUGCCUUUCAAACAAUUGACCCGGGUCCGAUUCCCGGCCAACGCA
rfam:Strongylocentrotus purpuratus Contig81275_fixed, whole genome shotgun sequence.